rnacentral:rRNA from 1 species
AGUGAACGCUGGCGGUAGGCCUAACACAUGCAAGUCGAACGGCAGCACAGUAAGAGCUUGCUCUUACGGGUGGCGAGUGGCGGACGGGUGAGGAAUACAUCGGAAUCUACUUUUUCGUGGGGGAUAACGUAGGGAAACUUACGCUAAUACCGCAUACGACCUACGGGUGAAAGCAGGGGAUCUUCGGACCUUGCGCGAUUGAAUGAGCCGAUGUCGGAUUAGCUAGUUGGCGGGGUAAAGGCCCACCAAGGCGACGAUCCGUAGCUGGUCUGAGAGGAUGAUCGGCCACACUGGAGCUGAACCACGGACCAGACUCCUGCGGGAGGCAGCAGUGGGGAAUAUUGGACAAUGGGCGCAAGCCUGAUCCAGCCAGACCGCGUGGGUGAAGAAGGCCUUCGGGUUGUAAAGCCCUUUUGUUGGGAAAGAAAAGCAGCAGGUUAAUACCCCGCUGUUCUGACGGUACCCAAAGAAUAAGCACCGGCUAACUUCGUG